rnacentral:tRNA from 1 species
GUUUAUGGGAGUUUGAGUCUCCUUUU